UUAGAGUUGAUCCUGGCUCCCGACGAACGCUGGCGGCGCGCCUAACACAUGCAAGUCGAACGAGAGAUGAGGAGCUUGCUCUUCAAAUCGAGUGGCGAACGGGUGAGUAACGCGUGAGGAACCUGCCUCAAAGAGGGGGACAACAGUUGGAAACGACUGCUAAUACCGCGUAAGCCCACGGCUCGGCAUCGAGCAGAGGGAAAAGGAGCAAUCCGCUUUGAGAUGGCCUCGCGUCCGAUUAGCUAGUUGGUGAGGUAACGGCCCACCAAGGCGACGAUCGGUAGCCGGACUGAGAGGUUGAACGGCCACAUUGGGACUGAGACACGGCCCAGACUCCUACGGGAGGCAGCAGUGGGGAAUAUUGCACAAUGGGGGAAACCCUGAUGCAGCGACGCCGCGUGGAGGAAGAAGGUCUUCGGAUUGUAAACUCCUGUUGUUGAGGAAGAUAAUGACGGUACUCAACAAGGAAGUGACGGCUAACUACGUGCCAGCAGCCGCGGUAAAACGUAGGUCACAAGCGUUGUCCGGAAUUACUGGGUGUAAAGGGAGCGCAGGCGGGAGAACAAGUUGGAAGUGAAAUCCAUGGGCUCAACCCAUGAACUGCUUUCAAAACUGUUUUUCUUGAGUAGUGCAGAGGUAGGCGGAAUCCCCGGUGUACCGGUGGAAUGCGUAGAUAUCGGGAGGAACACCAGUGGCGAAGGCGGCCUACUGGGCACCAACUGACGCUGAGGCUCGAAAGUGUGGGUAGCAAACAGGAUUAGAUACCCUGGUAGUCCACACCGUANACGAUGAUUACUAGGUGUUGGAGGAUUGACCCCUUCAGUGCCGCAGUUAACACAAUAAGUAAUCCACCUGGGGAGUACGACCGCAAGGUUGAAACUCAAAGGAAUUGACGGGGGCCCGCACAAGCAGUGGAGUAUGUGGUUUAAUUCGACGCAACGCGAAGAACCUUACCAAGUCUUGACAUCCCUUGACGAACAUAGAAAUAUGUUUUCUCUUCGGAGCAAGGAGACAGGUGGUGCAUGGUUGUCGUCAGCUCGUGUCGUGAGAUGUUGGGUUAAGUCCCGCAACGAGCGCAACCCUUAUGGUCAGUUACUACGCAAGAGGACUCUGGCCAGACUGCCGUUGACAAAACGGAGGAAGGUGGGGAUGACGUCAAAUCAUCAUGCCCUUUAUGACUUGGGCUACACACGUACUACAAUGGCGUUAAACAAAGAGAAGCAAGACCGCGAGGUGGAGCAAAACUCAGAAACAACGUCCCAGUUCGGACUGCAGGCUGCAACUCGCCUGCACGAAGUCGGAAUUGCUAGUAAUCGUGGAUUAGCAUGCCACGGUGAAUACGUUCNCCGGGCAAUGUACACACGGCCCGUC
rnacentral:rRNA from 1 species